rnacentral:rRNA from 1 species
AUACGUAGGUGACAAGCGUUAUCCGGAUUUACUGGGUGUAAAGGGCGUGUAGGCGGUUUAGCAAGUCAGAAGUGAAAUUCCCGGGCUUAACUUGGGCGCUGCUUCUGAAACUGCUUUACUUGAGUGCUGGAGAGGAUAGUGGAAUUCCUAGUGUAGCGGUAAAAUGCGCAGAUAUUAGGAGGAACACCGGUGGCGAAGGCGGCUAUCUGGACAGUAACUGACGCUGAGGCGCGAAAGCACGGGGAGCAAACAGGAUUAGAUACCCUGGUAGUCCGUGCCGUAAACGAUGAAUACUAGGUGUAGGGGGUAUCGACUCCCUCUGUGCCGCAGUUAACACAUUAAGUAUUCCACCUGGGGAGUACGGCCGCAAGGUUGAAACUCAAAGGAAUUGACGG